GAUGAACGCUGGCGGCGUGCUUAACACAUGCAAGUCGAACGGAAAGGCCCUGCUUUUGUGGGGUGCUCGAUUGGCGAACGGGUGAGUAACACGCGAGUAUCCUGCCCUUGACUUUCGGAUAAAUUCAGGAAACUGGGGCUCAUACCGGAUAGGAGCUCCUGCUGCGCGGUGUGCGAUGGAAAGUUUCGGCGGUUGGGGAUGGUCUGGCUGCUUAUCAGCUUGUUGGUGGAGUAGGUGCUGACGAAGGCUUUGACGGGUAGCCGGCCUAAGAGGGGGACCGGCGACCAUGGGACUGAGAGACGGCGCAGAAUCCUACGGGAGGCAGCAGUGGGGAGUCUUGCACAAUGGGGGGAAGCCUGAUGCAGCAGCGCCGCGUGCGGGAUGACGGCCUUCGGGUUGUGAACCGCUUUCGCAUGUGACGAAGCGUGAGUGACGGUAAUGGGUAAAGAAGCACCGGCUAACUACGUG
rnacentral:rRNA from 1 species